rnacentral:tRNA from 2 species
ACCUGGCUGGCUCAGUUGGAAGAGCGUGAGACUCGAUCUCGGGGCCAUGGGUUCAAGCCCCACACUGGGUG